rnacentral:rRNA from 1 species
CUCGUAGUUGGACCUGUGUUCCACGCUGUCGGUUCGCCGCCCGUCGGUGUCAACUGGCAUGUCCUGUGGAACGUCCUGCCGGUGGCGGUCCGGGCUUUCGGCUUGCGUAAGGGCUCACGCCCGAAGCAGGUCGGACAGUACCGGCCGCCGGUCCAAUCCCGCCACGGUGCUCUUCACCGAGUGUCGAGGUGGGCCGGCACGUUUACUUUGAACAAAUUAGAGUGCUUAAAGCAGGCUGGUGUCCGCCUGAAUACUGUGUGCAUGGAAUAAUAGAAUAGGACCUCGGUUCUAUUUUGUUGGUUUUCGGAACCCGAGGUAAUGAUUAAUAGGGACAGGCGGGGGCAUUCGUAUUGCGACGUUAGAGGUGAAAUUCUUGGAUCGUCGCAAGACGAACCUAAGCGAAAGCAUUUGCCAAGUAUGUUCUCGUUAAUCAAGAACGAAAGUUAGAGGUUCGAAGGCGAUCAGAUACCGCCCUAGUUCUAACCAUAAACGAUGCCAGCCAGCGAUCCGCCGAAGUUCCUCCGAUGACUCGGCGGGCAGCUUCCGGGAAACCAAAGCUUUUGGGUUCCGGGGGAAGUAUGGUUGCAAAGCUGAAACUUAAAGGAAUUGACGGAAGGGCACCACCAGGAGUGGAGCCUGCGGCUUAAUUUGACUCAACACGGGAAACCUCACCAGGCCCGGACACCGGAAGGAUUGACAGAUUGAGAGCUCUUUCUUGAUUCGGUGGGUGGUGGUGCAUGGCCGUUCUUAGUUGGUGGAGCGAUUUGUCUGGUUAAUUCCGAUAACGAACGAGACUCUAGCCUGCUAACUAGGCGAUUCCGGUACCCACAAUAGUGUUACCGGCGAUUCAAUUUCUUCUUAGAGGGACAGGCGGCUCCUAGCCGCACGAGACUGAGCAAUAACAGGUCUGUGAUGCCCUUAGAUGUCCUGGGCCGCACGCGCGCUACACUGAAGGAAUCAGCGUGUCUUCCCUGGCCGACAGGCCCGGGUAACCCGUUGAACCUCCUUCGUGCUAGGGAUUGGGGCUUGCAAUUGUUCCCCAUGAACGAGGAAUUCCCAGUAAGCGCGAGUCAUAAGCUCGCGUUGAUUACGUCCCUGCCCUUUGUACACACCGCCCGUCGCUACUACCGAUUGAAUGAUUUAGUGAGGUCUUCGGACUGGUGCGCGGCGAUCGGCUUUUACUGCCGGCCGCCGAUGUUGCCGGAAAGAUGACCAAACUUGAUCAUUUAGAGGAAGUAAAAGUCGUAACAAGGUUUCC